GGAGAGUUGUCCGAGAGGUCUAUGGUGAACGGUUGGAAGCCGUUUGUGGUCACAAGCCACCAGAGGUUCAAAUCCUCUACUCUCCGCCA
rnacentral:tRNA from 1 species